AAGCCAUGGCUCGCCUUCCCAACCUGUUCAGCAAGAGUAGCACCCAGCUGGGGGAGCAGAGCUGCACAGGCGAGGGCGAAGACAACACCAAGCUCCUCGGGUUGCCUAAUAUUGGCAACACCUGCUUCAUGAACUCUGCUCUGCAGUGCCUGCUGGGGCUGCCAGCAUUUUGCAGAGACAUCCUGAGACAGCAGAAUAUCUGGAGUUCCUCCCCCUCCUCUAAACUGCUAUGCUGCUUUGCCGAGUUACAUCAGGCCAGGCUUUCUGGAGGCACUGUUAAUGCUAAGAACAAGGAAAAUAAGAAAAUCCUUCAAACAGUCAAGCGCUGUCUUUCCGUUGUCAAUGAGGACUAUGAGGACGACAAUGAACAGGUAAGAUAUUAUUUGCUAAAAGACUCACUUAACAAUAAACCUGGGACACGGGACAGUGUUUUUCCCCAGCUCUGUUUCAGUUGUAGUUGUUGAUGUAUUUUCUGCUUCUUUCCCAUUCUUCUCUUAGGAUGCCCAUGAAUGUGUGUUGCUCCUCCUCUUUCAGCUGAAGGAGGAGGGUAUGGCAUUAAAGGGCUCACCAGAGCCAUACACCUGCCCCGUGAAGCAGUUAGAAUUCAAGCUGAAGACUUCCCGUACCUGCACCAGGUAACAGCUGUCAUUUGUAUACGGUGUACCUUGAUGUCAUCAUCACAUUUGUGAGGAGGUUUAAUGUCAGCAUAAUAUGCAGGAUACAGAGGUAAAGCAUUAAGAUAGUGUGUAGAGGAUCAAAAGGUUUGUGUUGGAUAGCUGAUGCAUUUCUCUCCGUACUUCUGAAGCUGUGGAGUUAUAGUGUAUGGUCAGGAGGAUUACAAUCACUUGUCCCUGAGCCUGAGCCAUUACCUGCCACACAGCCUGGACCUCUACUUUAAGCCAUCUGCGUUAGAGUGUGCAUGCAGGGUGUGCUCAGGCAGCAUGGCAUCUGUGACUAUGCACUUCCUCACGCUGCCCCGGGUCCUAAUGCUUCAUAUCAAGCGAUUUACUGCAGGCGACUGGGAGCCAAAGAAGGUGGAUGAUCCCAUGUCCAUCCCUGCAGAAAUAACCCUCCCAGCCGUAUGUGGGAAGACAGCCCAUGUCCAGUAUGGAGCCAGGGCAAGCUCCCUGGGGAAAAACAACAUGGACAACAAACCUGCAAACUCCCCGAAAGGCACCCUUGAUAGACCAGG